rnacentral:tRNA from 1 species
AAAGGGAGACCUAAUUCAGGUAGGAGACGAAAAAAAAGUAGUCGCUACCAGGAAUCAAUCCCAAAAGGUCGGAGCGAGGCGAAAUUGGCUUUCAAACUAGGUUCUGGGUUCACACAAGACCUGAAUCAGGAACAAGGGCUAUUAGCUCAGGUGGUUAGAGCGCACCCCUGAUAAGGGUGAGGUCCCUGGUUCGAGUCCAGGAUGGCCCACCUGCACAAGUGGCAAAAACAAAGAAGCGAGGAAUCAGCACCUUAUCUUACUUAUAUAGUAAGAGAGAAUGCUGGCUCUGAGUAAAGAGUCCAGAGGAACCUUGAAAACUGCAUAGAGCUAGGUGAAAAAGCCAAAAAAGAAGACCGCAAG